rnacentral:rRNA from 1 species
GACGAACGCUGGCGGCGCGCUUAACACAUGCAAGUCGAACGGAAAGGCCUGCUUUCCCUUGUGGAUUGCGGGUACUCGAGUGGCGAACGGGUGAGUAACACGUGAGUGAUCUGCCCCCAACUUGGGUAUAAGCCUGGGAAACUGGGUCUAAUUCCCGAUAGGACUGCAGGGUGGUGCCUGUGGUGGAAAACGAUUUUCUAGUGGUUGGGGAUGAGCUCGCGGCCUAUCAGCUUGUUGGUGGGGUAAUGGCCUACCAAGGCGGCGACGGGUAGCCGGCCUGAGAGGGUGGACGGCCACAUUGGGACUGAGAGACGGCCCAGACUCCUACGGGAGGCAGCAGGGGGGAAUAUUGCACAAUGGGCGGAAGCCUGAUGCAGCGACGCCGCGUGGGGGAUGACGGCCUUCGGGUUGUAAACUCCUUUCGACCGCGAGGAAGCCACCUGGUUGGAAGGGUGGUGACGGUAGUGGUAGAAGAAGCACCGGCUAACUACGUG